UACAGAGGUCUCAAGCGUUGUUCGGAUUCAUUGGGCGUAAAGGGUGCGUAGGUGGCGCGGUAAGUCGGGUGUGAAAUCUCGGAGCUUAACUCCGAAAUUGCAUUCGAUACUGCCGUGCUUGAGGACUGGAGAGGAGACUGGAAUUCAUGGUGUAGCAGUGAAAUGCGUAGAGAUCAUGAGGAAGACCAGUGGCGAAGGCGGGUCUCUGGACAGUAACUGACGCUGAGGAGCGAAAGCGUGGGGAGCGAACAGG
rnacentral:rRNA from 1 species